UACGAAGGGAGCUAGCGUUGUUCGGAAUCACUGGGCGUAAAGCGCACGUAGGCGGAUUUGUCAGUCAGGGGUGAAAUCCCGGGGCUCAACCUCGGAACUGCCUUUGAUACAGCAAGUCUUUGAGUUCGAGAGAGGUGGGUGGAAUUCCUAGUGUAGAGGUGAAAUUCGUAGAUAUUAGGAAGAACACCGGUGGCGAAGGCGGCCCACUGGCUCGAUACUGACGCUGAGGUGCGAAAGCGUGGGGAGCGAACAGG
rnacentral:rRNA from 1 species